rnacentral:rRNA from 1 species
UAACACGUAGGAGACAAGCGUUAUUCGGAUUUACUGGGCGUAAAGCGCGUGCAGGCGGUUCAGCAAGUUGGAUGUGAAAUCUCCCGGCUUAACUGGGAGAAGUCGUUCAAAACUACUGAACUCGAGAGUGGUAGAGGGAGGUGGAAUUCCGGGUGUAGUGGUAAAAUGCGUAGAUAUCCGGAAGAACACCAGUGGCGAAGGCGGCCUCCUGGACCAUUUCUGACGCUCAGACGCGAAAGCUAGGGGAGCGAACGGG